AUGAUACAACACUUUGUCACCGUGACUAUCAAUAACUUGAUUUUCGGCGAUGGCACAAAACUUACAGUAAUAGGGAAGAACGAUGAAAUCAUACCUCCAGCUGUGGCCAUCUUUUCCCCAUCAAAGCAAGAGAUCCAACAGAAGAGCAAGGCCACGCUGGUAUGCCUGGCCUCUGGUUUCUACCCUGACCACCUGAAUCUGGUCUGGAAGGUGAAUGGUGCUACGAGGACAGAAGGGGUGGGGACAGAUGAGUUUUCCACACGGAAUGGGAGUAUGUACUCAUUGACCAGCCGACUGAGGAUCUCAGCCCAGGAAUGGUUCAAUCCUUUGAACCGUUUUGAGUGUGUUGCCAACUUUAUUAAGAACGGAACACCAGAAUUGAUACAGAAAUUCAUCUACGGUGACGCUGGUUGUGCACUCACAGAAGAGUCCUACUUGCGGUAUGGAAAUUCUCUGAAGCUCACUUACCUCAUUCUCUGUGGCAAAGCCUUCCUGUAUGCAGUUUUGGUGACCAGUCUGGUGUGGACAGCCAAGACUGGUGGCAAAUUGUACAGAGAAUGAAUGAAGAGUCCUCUUCAUCACAUCAGCAGGAACACAGCAAAUUAUACUUUCUACCUUUCCAUAGCAAAGGAUUCAUGCUUCUGUCUAAGAACUCUGAGUAUUACUUCUUGGUGGUUCUCUGUCCCCCUCCUGUUCUUUCCACUUUGUUGGAAUCACUGCUGGGUUUUCUCUGUACUUCCAUAUCAUAUUGUAUCGUAUUGUAUCAUAUUGUAUCGUAUCAUAUAGUAUCAUAUCUUUAAAACUAACACCUUCUUAAUGCUCAGAGGCUGAGAACCCAGAUACUUGAAUUAGGAAUAAAAUUUUAGCUUCUUUU